GUUGUGAUUGUAUAGGUAUCUCUUAGCUCUUUGGCAUUGCUGGAAUAUACACACUGAGGACAUGCUGUUACAGAAGCCCUGAUGUUUAGAUUGGCAAUGUAUAUGAUGCCUGUGAGAAGAAACAUCUGCAAAACAAUUCAGAUCUCUGUGAAUAAACUGACUCAAGCCUAACAAGGUGUCUUGUAAGUUUCCUUGUCUUAGUCUUCAUCCAUAUUCAUACAUGAGAGAAGAGGGCAAAGAAAGUGAUUUUGACAGAGAAGUGGAGACCGGCAUUGCUUACGUGGACACAUAUACAGAGUGCU